ensembl:rRNA 5S_rRNA 5S ribosomal RNA
GUCUAUGGCCAGACCACACUGAACAUGCCUGAUCGUGUCUGAGCUCAGAAGCUAAGCAUGGUUGCGCCUGGUUAGUACUUGGAUGGAAGAUUAUACUCAUCCUGAUAAAAAUAUAGGCAAUAAAUC